rnacentral:rRNA from 1 species
AGAGUUUGAUCAUGGCUCAGAUUGAACGCUGGCGGCAGGCCUAACACAUGCAAGUCGAGCGGUAGCACAGAGAGCUUGCUCUCGGGUGACGAGCGGCGGACGGGUGAGUAAUGUCUGGGAAACUGCCUGAUGGAGGGGGAUAACUACUGGAAACGGUAGCUAAUACCGCAUAACGUCGCAAGACCAAAGUGGGGGACCUUCGGGCCUCAUGCCAUCAGAUGUGCCCAGAUGGGAUUAGCUAGUAGGUGGGGUAAUGGCUCACCUAGGCGACGAUCCCUAGCUGGUCUGAGAGGAUGACCAGCCACACUGGAACUGAGACACGGUCCAGACUCCUACGGGAGGCAGCAGUGGGGAAUAUUGCACAAUGGGCGCAAGCCUGAUGCAGCCAUGCCGCGUGUAUGAAGAAGGCCUUCGGGUUGUAAAGUACUUUCAGCGAGGAGGAAGGCAUUAAGGUUAAUAACCUUGGUGAUUGACGUUACUCGCAGAAGAAGCACCGGCUAACUCCGUGCCAGCAGCCGCGGUAAUACGGAGGGUGCAAGCGUUAAUCGGAAUUACUGGGCGUAAAGCGCACGCAGGCGGUCUGUCAAGUCGGAUGUGAAAUCCCCGGGCUCAACCUGGGAACUGCAUUCGAAACUGGCAGGCUAGAGUCUUGUAGAGGGGGGUAGAAUUCCAGGUGUAGCGGUGAAAUGCGUAGAGAUCUGGAGGAAUACCGGUGGCGAAGGCGGCCCCCUGGACAAAGACUGACGCUCAGGUGCGAAAGCGUGGGGAGCAAACAGGAUUAGAUACCCUGGUAGUCCACGCCGUAAACGAUGUCGACUUGGAGGUUGUGCCCUUGAGGCGUGGCUUCCGGAGCUAACGCGUUAAGUCGACCGCCUGGGGAGUACGGCCGCAAGGUUAAAACUCAAAUGAAUUGACGGGGGCCCGCACAAGCGGUGGAGCAUGUGGUUUAAUUCGAUGCAACGCGAAGAACCUUACCUACUCUUGACAUCCAGAGAACUUAGCAGAGAUGCUUUGGUGCCUUCGGGAACUCUGAGACAGGUGCUGCAUGGCUGUCGUCAGCUCGUGUUGUGAAAUGUUGGGUUAAGUCCCGCAACGAGCGCAACCCUUAUCCUUUGUUGCCAGCGGUCCGGCCGGGAACUCAAAGGAGACUGCCAGUGAUAAACUGGAGGAAGGUGGGGAUGACGUCAAGUCAUCAUGGCCCUUACGAGUAGGGCUACACACGUGCUACAAUGGCAUAUACAAAGAGAAGCGACCUCGCGAGAGCAAGCGGACCUCAUAAAGUAUGUCGUAGUCCGGAUUGGAGUCUGCAACUCGACUCCAUGAAGUCGGAAUCGCUAGUAAUCGUAGAUCAGAAUGCUACGGUGAAUACGUUCCCGGGCCUUGUACACACCGCCCGUCACACCAUGGGAGUGGGUUGCAAAAGAAGUAGGUAGCUUAACCUUCGGGAGGGCGCUUACCACUUUGUGAUUCAUGACUGGGGUGAAGUCGUAACAAGGUAACCGUAGGGGAACCUGCGGUUG